UUCAGCCUUAUUGGAACACAGGGAGAAAGAGAGUGGCUAAAUGAUUAAAGGAUAAUAAUAAUAACCACAAAAUAGAAGAGAUUACAAAAUAGGACUCCCUUAUACCUCAUCAGCAGGACAAGAGCUCUGUAAAAAUAAGCUCGGGGUUCAAAGAGAGGCAUCACGCUUAAAACCGGGCCUACGAGCUGCUGUGUCAACGGUCUUAAUGUGAGUGUCCAGAGAGCUUAUCUCCUAAGCGAUCUGUCCCCAUCCUCUUCUGCCAACUAUUCAGGAUAGUUGAGCUGUGCUGCUCAACUCUCCUGAAGCAUGUGAUGUGUUCCAGGAGGUACAGGGCCAAGCGCGGGUGUAUGUUCAUGUCUGCAUGCGUCCUAGAACUUUGUGGAAGCCCUGGAAACCUUUUGAUUGGCCAACAUCUUCCUCUUUCUCCCUCUAAUUUAUCAUGGAUAUGUCAUUUAAAAUGGCAGUAAUUUCACAAUUUAGAAGGAAAACAAGGUAGGUAAAUGUAUUCAUUACAGCUUUUAUACACACACCCAGAGUCCUACAGGAGUUACUGUGGGCAUAUAUGAAUUGCAAAACGAUUUGUAGAAUUGACGGGAGAUUCUUCAGUAACUUCUCUCCCCUCCCCUACUCCCCUAUAAGGAGGCAAUAACAGGUCUCAAGUGGCCCUUUAAUCGGCAUUCAACCAACAUUUAUGGAACCUCUCUUAAUAGGUUUUUGGCACUCUUGUAGAAUCCGGUAAUAUACCAUUUAGGUGGGUCAACAGAAGACCAACCAAGCAGUGAAUAAAUAAGUUCAGAUCGGGAUACGUGUUAGGAAGAAAACAACGCAGCUCAUAGGCUAGAAACCUGCUCCUUUACACAGGGUGGUCAGGGAAGGCCUCUUGGAGAAGGUCAGACUUGAGUAAAGACCCUAAGGUUCAGAAGAAAGACCUGGGGGUAGACUCUUCCGGCAAAGAGAACUGCAAUUAUAGAAGCCUUAAUGAGGAAACAAGCUUGGCAUGUUCAAGGAACAGAACUAGGGCAGUGGUAUUGUAGUGAAGGCAAGAGAUGAUGAAAUUGUUUGGAUGUGAAAGUAGAAGGAGGGGCUGGAAACAGGAUAUACUCAGAAGAUCCAAUCAAGAGGCCUUGCUGAUGGAUUGCAGUGGAAAACAAACAAAACACAUCCAAGAGGUGUGCUUGGGACAUGCUAAAUGCAAGAUGCCUCUGGGGGAUUCAAACAAAGAGACAGGUAAGUCUGGAUCUCAGGGGACAAAAAGGUUGUUCCACGAGAGAGAAAUUUGGAAGAUCACACUAUGCAGAUCAUGUAUGAUGGCAAAAUGGAUGAAAUCACCCAGGCAGAGAGUGUAGCAUGAGAAGGGGGCCUGGUUAAAAGUCAUGCAGAAACAGGUGCAAAUAAUGGACACCGAGAAGGCGUGCAGAGGCUAUUGUAGUUGGAGGGACAAUCAGGAGAGUACACCACCACAAAUCUAAAAAUAAAAAAUAAAAUGAAAGGAAGGAAGGAAGGGAGGGGUGGGGGAAUGAAGGGAAGGAGAGUAGGUUUCAAAGGAGGGAAUUGUCAAAUACACCAAAGGCACUUGGGCGAUAUAGUAUGAUGAGGAUUAAUUAGGUCUUUGGUGCCCUGGUGGCACAGUGGUUAAGUGUUUGGCUGCUGGCACUUUGAAUCCACUAGCAGCUCCCUGGAAACCCUACGGGGCAGUCCUACUCUGUCCUGUAGGGUCGCUAUAAGGCAGAAUCGACUCGAUGGCAAUGGGCUGGUUUUUUGGUUUUUUUCUUGGUACCCUUGGAAAAAGCACUUUCCUUUGGGGGGAAUGAGGGUAGAAGCUCAACUGCAAACAGAAUGGUUAUACAAUAAGUGGAGACAUGUUUGGUGUUUGGAGCAUCAGGGAAAAUGUGGCAGCACCUUGGAGGAAAAUGGGAUAAGGCUUUAUAUAUUAUUUCAUGCUGUUUAAGGUGUAAGAAACAAGAGCAUGUUCGUAGAUGAUGGGAUGACCUAGUGGAGACGGAGAAGGCGAUGAUUCAGGAGAAAGGAACGAUAAUUGCAAAAAGCCUACCCCUUGAGAAGGUGGAAAGGCAUUGAAUCCAGAGCAGAGGUGAAGGGUCCAGCCUCAAGUAGGAUCUGGUAACUUCCUCCAGAGGGGCAACACAGAAUACAAGUGCCGAUUCAGGGUUUUGGGGAAGUGGUGAGAGAGUGCCUGUCUGAUCAUUUGUUUUUCCAACAAAGUAUCAGUGAAUAUCUUGAGAACAGUGGGUGAUGGUUUCUGUGGAGUGGAGAGUGCAGAGAGUUACUGGGGUUUUACCAGGAGAGAAGGGAGAAAGGAGCCAAAGAGGUGUGUUUGACCUGGAGAGUGAACAGCUCUGAGUAAGCAGGAACUCGCUCAAUCGCAACGUGGAGAACUUGGAAGACCGGGAAAGUACAAUAAGCAAAGCUACCCUUAUCUACAGCCCCACCACCUAGCGUGAAAAGAAGAAGGAAUGGCAAUAAAGAAGACAACCACCAUUCCCCCCACUCCAAAAGGAGUAAGAGAAACCUUGUCUUUCAGGAUUCUCUAGAUGCAGAGGUAGGACACGUGCUCUGAUAAAGUCUUUCUCCAUUCAUUCAUUGCCUAAGUUUGUGCCUGUGGAGGUUCUAGAAUUUUUCACUCUGGGCCAGGACCGUCUAUUCUUGAACUGUCUUGACAUUAAGUCCUCAAAUCAAUUUGAUUGCUGUUGCUGUUAACCCAGCCAUCCGACUUCAUUUGGCCAUCACUUAUCAGGUGCCUUCAAGCAGUGAUAAUGAUAGGAGCAGCGGCAGCAGCAUUAAUAGCCCGGAGAGAGCGAGUGGCCCAGGAAGCAGUUUAAACCAGACUGGUGCUGAACUCAACCCCAACAUCCCUCAGUCCUUCUACGAGAAGGCUGCUCUAUGCCAGGGUCCCUACUUCCACAUCAGCCAACUCUUGAAGGAGGCACACUUCCACAGCCUGCGGCAGAGAGGACGGUCUUCUCCAACCAGAUGAACUAGGAGCUCCUUGUUCCAAACUAAAAUUUGCUUUAAAGAGCAAUCGCACGCACACAAAAAAGUCUGUUGGCUUUUCAGUCCAUAUUUUAAAUAACAGGCUAAUGGACAAUUGUUUACUUGUGGUUUUGCUACACUAUUGCAAUGUCAAAGGGACUUUGAAGCAAUUUUUAUAGAAUUCUUUUCAGGUUGGGUGUCAAAUCCACGUCAAGGUAGCAGUAUGAGGAAACCGCAUCUGUGUGUUGAAUGCGUAGCAUGUCCAAGUCAGGUUGGCUUCCAGAUCUGUCAGUCAGAAACUCUACUUCAUGUCAAGGAACCCUGGUGGCAUAGUGGUUAAGGGCUCAGCUGCUAACCUACUCUGUCCCAUAGGGUCACUAUGAGUCGGAAGCGACUCCAUGGCACCGAAUGACAACAACUUUAUGUCAAAAGGUCUUUUAAAAUGUGGAAGGUCUUCUUUUUUCUUUUUCAUGCAGUUGAUUCAGUCGGCUAGUAAAGGCUGUGUAGUUUUAACAAAAACAAAAACAAAACACCUAAGUUGCUUUUUCAAAGCAUGGAAAACUUGAUUCAGUCUUGCACUGAAAUGAACUGCCAUGCUGCCUCUCAGAAAGCAGAUGUCCUAUUGAAAUUCCCCUCUCCUUGUAACAGGAGUCCCUGGGUGGUGCAAACGGUUAACACGCUCAGCUGCUAACCUAAAGGUUGGAGGUUCGAGUCCACCCAGAGGUGCCUGGCCAUCUACUUUCAAAAAUCAGCCGUUGAAAACCCUAAGGAGCACGGUUCUACUCUGACACAAACGGGGUCACCAUGAGUCAGAGUCGACUCAAGGGCAACUGGUCUAACAGGAGAACAAUUAGAUCCAAUUAGACUGUGUAAGUGAAACCCUCUCUAACAACUGCCUUCAGAAUGUAUUCUCAGACACCUUCUGUAUCAUUAGCUCUUCAAAGCGUGCAUUUCAGACUUGGCUUGGUCAGUGCAUAAUAACUUUUUGUCUUAAAUGCAAACUUGUUAUGCUGACAGCUUUUGUUUUCUCAUUUAAAAUUUCACCUAUUAUGUCUAGAGUUUAUGCUGAUAAAGUGGAAGCUACUCGAACUGGUGCUUGAGUAACACAAGUAUUGUGAAACUGGGUCAGACAACCAUCCACUUUGUGCUUCAAGGGUCCCUUCAUAGAGACACUAGGGGGCCAGCUUCUGUCAUUGAAACUGUAAAGAUCGGCAUGGCUUAGAAAUAGUGAGCUGAGGUGCCUUUAGAAGAAACAGGCAGUAGUAUUUACUUAGAGAGAGGUGGGUAUGUGUCCGUGUUCUUCAGUCAUACCAAAGAGGCAUCCAGGUUUGAAUAGUGACUGCACAGAUGUGUAUGCUACCUCAGUGAUAAGCUGUACGAAAAAGGAAACAGAAUGCAUCAGGCCAUCUGCCCUGGAGAGUGCCAGAUACAACCUGACACUGACCGAGAGUGUAAUAAAAUUCUCCUGCCUGCUCAUGUUGUCUUCUCCACAAUACUUGGACGUCCCCAUAGCACAGACAAGGAGACCUGAGAAAUAAGGCCACUCUAGAAAGAGGUCUUUGCCAGUUGUCCAGAUUUAGAAAAGAUGUAAGGGAACAGAAUGACCGAAAGAAGGAUGAGAUUUUAUUAAGUGACAGAACUAACGAUUGAAAAGUGAGAACUAUCUUAGGAAAAGGAUAACACACACGCACACACACACACACCCCUUCUUUCCAUAGUCAUGUAGUAUGGUUAAGGUUUUAAGGUCAGUUACUUGAUACGUAAUUUUAGUGUUAUGGGAAAAAGUUACAGCAGCAUUGACCCCACGCUUAUAGAAUAUAUAGAUCCUUUUUUCCCCCCUCAAUUAGACUUGUCGUGCAAGAAAGAACUUUUACUAUUUCUACUGUCUCCGAAGUUGUAAAACCAGAUGUUUAGCAAAAAGACUUUUGACCUGAUAGCAGGGAAUGUAGGAAGGAUACCUAGCUACCACUUUCUAUAACAAUACAGCCAACAACCAAGUACUAAAGGAGACAAUCUGUUUUAACUCUUAAGCCACAUGUGUACAACACGAUUCAGAAAAGCCCAGGAAGGCUCUUGCAGGCUUAAAUACAUGAUAUCCCACUGAAACAAAGUGUGUAUUAAAAAUGCAAGUGUCAUCAAAGACCUGAGAAAGCAAAUUUCCUUUCAUUCUCCACCUUACGUGGGUGAUGAGACCAUCACCAGGAGCAAACAUCAUUUUUUUCAAAAUAAGUUCAAUCUUGGUCCAGGGUCGGCAGUGUAAGUCUCUUACCCUAGUAAGUACAAUGUGGAAUCUCCAGCUUAUCUUUUGCAGACUUUCUAAGUCUUGGCAGCCUGAUAUAUAUUUCCAUUAUGAGGUGAAUAAGCAUCUUUUAAAAUAUCUGUUAGCUCACACUGGUAAGAGCUGGUACUUACUCAUUGCUCGGCCCUUAAAAGCACCAUUGUUUUUGUGCAUUUUGUCAUUCAGCUUUCCAUCAUAUACUUAAAAGGGAGCUAUCUGGGCUGUUGGGUGGGAGAUGAUGACAGGAUGAACCUUUUGGUGUAUGCACUGACCUGAGCUUUUCUUUUGGCGCUUUCACUGGCUGACCUAGCCUUUUGAGUGCUUGCCAUGCUCCGUGGAAAAAGUCAACACCCCACGACAGGAUGAGGGAAUGUCGGUAAUAUGAGCAGGAGGUUUCAGGGCCCAGCCAAAGUCUACUUUAAGUCACUUACCUGAUCCAAUUCGAUGUCAGUGGUAGUAUAUUAUGUGGUUUUGGGGGAACUGAAUCUACUGCUCCUUGAGGUGAACUGAUUCACUGUACCAGUCACCAAUCCAGAGACACAGAGACACCUUUUUCUCGUCAAAAGGAGCAAAAUAAAAUGUUCAUCGAUUAUUAAACAGGUAAAAGUGAUAAUCACUGCUCUGUUGCCGGUCAUCGCUGCUUUGUUCCCAAGCAUCUAUUUGGGGGUUUAUUCUUCUGCCAUGUUAAUGCUUCAAAAUAACUUUUUCUUUUUUCAGAAUCACCACAGGUGAGUGGCUUAUAGUCAUGUACCUCUUUUGCUUUAUACUUCUUUUGUAGCCUUUGGUUAACCUAAUAAUCUUUGUCUACAACUAAAGGAGUCAGAUCAUGGUUACCUCAGCUUUUGGGAGCUUUCAACCCAAUCCUGCAUACGGCCCUUAUAUCUAACUUAGGUAUCUGCCCCUAACUGGCCUCCCAAAACUACAUUCUGGAGUAUUAGGUGGAGUAGCAAGUUAGUUUCAUAAUUUGACCCUGUACUGCUUCAUUCACUCGAAGCCUGUUUCUGUCUUCACUUAUAUAAGUUUGCUGUACAGGUAAGAAAGGUUGCUAUUGAGGAGUGUGGCAUAAAUCACCCAGUUCAAAUGGAUGGUCAAGAGCUUUCAGGUACUCAGUCACUUUCCCGAUCCUGAAAAAUGAUUAGUGUCCUUACACUCUAAAUUUUCUUAGGAUUGGAAAAAAAACACCUAUGGAAGGAUCUUCAGAAUGACACAGUAAUUAUCUCCAAAAAUCCACUCCUCCAUGAAAGCACCUAGAACCCUGGGGGAAAAAAAAAAGGUCAAAAUCAACUUUUCCAAAGUUCUGGAAAUUAACCAAACACUUGCAAUAAUUCAGGAAGCAUUUACUCAAGAAAAAUGGCUAAAUAUCAGUAAGAAAACUGAACUUUAUGAUGUAUGAAUUUUUGCUUCCCCAUCCUCCUCUCCCCAAGCUCUGCAGUAGCCUUCCAAACCAGCAGUUUGCAGCCACGGUGGCUGAGAAAACUAGCAGCCUAGAUGCCCCUGGAACAGAUAGGCCAGAUUUGGAGCUACUCAGCCCUAUCCACAGAGAAGUAUCACUAGUUGACCUAUCUGGCGUUUCCCUGGAAAAGCCCCAUUUGCAGAACUGUUGAUUAUUUGACUUGACUCAGAGUUCCCUCUAUGGGAAAAGCCCUAUACCCAGGGCGUUUGUUGAAAAAACAAAUGUGACAAUUUUUUUUAAGUCACAGGUGCCUGAGGUGGCAAUGACAGUUGGGAAAAUAAGCAGCUGGACUAAAACUUCAAAGGAAGAUCUGGGGGAGUGAGCUAGCUGUCCACAGGGGACUUUGAAAAGCUCCAAAAUAUUCCCGAGGAUCUACAAGGCCCACACACAUGUAUAGCCUUGUGUGCAUAUGCCAGGAAAGACCUGAGAAUGCCCUAAUCUUCCACCUCUGGGUGGGCCUUAGGCUCUGUGCAAGCAGGAAGUGAAGGCUAAGGCAGAAGUUGUAAUCUGCCAGAGUAUGGAAGGUAAAACCCCAACACACACAGCUAGUCACUAAGUAAAUGUUGGGAGACUUUUGGUUCAAGGCAUUUAAAGAAGUUAAGGAAGUUUCUGUCUGAUCAUUAGUUCACAACUAAGCUAAUCAAGAAAAGACUUCAGUGGCCACACACAACAGAAUAUAUACCUUACAGAGUACAUCCAGGAAAAUUAUUAAACAAACAAACAGCAACAACAACAAUGACAACAACAAACACUGGGGUGGAGUGGGGGGAGGAAGGAUCUGAUAUACAGAGUGACCACAUUAUAUUAUUUAAAAUUUUUGUCUCAUAACAAAAACUUACAAGAAUGCAAAGAAACAGGAAAUUAUGACACACACGCACACACACGCAAGUCAAUAGGAACUGUUCCUGAGGAAGCCCAGGUAUGGAGCUUACUAGACAAAGCCUUUAAAUUAGCCGUGAUAAAUAUGUGCAAAAGCUGAAGAAAAACAUGUCUAAACAAAUUAAAGUAUGACAAUAAUGCCUCAUCAAAUGGAGGAUAUCAACAAAGAGAAAAGAUACUAGAGAAGACCCAAAUACAAAUUCUGGAGUUGAAAAGUACCAUAACUGAAAUGACACUUCGGUGGAAAUUUCAGCUCCAAAAGAGAUUUGCACUGGAAGAAGAAGGAAUCAGCAAACUUGGGGACAGGUAAUUGAGAUUAUCCCGUCUCAAGAAAAAAUAAAAUAAAAUAAAAUAACGAAAGUGGAACAGAGCCUCGGAGACAUAUGGGACACCAUCAAGUAUACCGAUAUUUACCUAGAGGGAAUCCCAGAAGAAGAGGAGAGAGAGAGGAGGGCAGAAAGAAUAUUUGAAGAAAUAAUGGCCAAAAACUUCCCAAAUUUGAUGAAAAACAUUAAUCUCCACAUCCAAGGAGCUCAAAGUACUCAGAGUGGCAUAAACGGAAAGCACUCCACAUCUAGAUACAUUAUAGUCAAAUCGUCAAAAGCGGAAGACAGAGAAUCUCAAAUGCAGAAGAACCAACCAUUCAUCACAUGCACAGGAUCCUCAGUAAGAUUAAUAGCUGUCUUUUCGCCAGAAAUCACGACAUAGUCAAGGUGCUGAAAGCACUGAAUUCUAGAUUCAGCAAAUCUAUCAUUCAAAAGUGAAGGCAAAAUUAAGACAUUCCCAGAUAGAAAAACCAUAGAAUCUGUCACUAACAGGCCUGUCCUACAAGAAAUUCUAAAGAGAGUCCUUUGGGCUGAAAAGAAAGGGCAGUAGAUGACUCAAAAUGAGAAGAAACAGCUGCAAACAUCCAUUAAUAAUCGGAACGUGGAAUGCACGAAGUAUGAAUCUAGGAAAACUGGAAGUCAUCAAAAAUGAAAUGGAACGCAUAAACAUCCGUAUCCUAGGCAUUACUGAGCUGAAAUGGACUGGUAUUGGCCAUUUUGAAUCCAACAAUUAUGUUGUUUACUAUGCCAGGAAUGACAACUUGAAGAGGAAUGGUGUUGCAUUCAUCGUCAAAAAGAACAUUUCAAGAUCUAUCCUGAAGUACAACGCCGUCAGUGAUAGGAUAAUAUCCAUACGCCUACAAGGAAGACCAGUUAAUACGACUAUUACUCAAAUUUACCCACUAAUCACUAAGGACAAAGAUGAAGAAACUGAAGAUUUUUUACCAACUUCUGCAGUCUGAAAUUGACAGAACAUACAAUCAGGAUGCGUUGAUAAUUACUGGUGAUUGGACUGGGAAAGUUGGAAACAAAGAAGAAGGCUCGGUAGUUGGAAAAUAUGGCCUUGGGGAUAGAAAUGAUGCCGGAGAUCGCACGAUAGCAUUUUGCAAGACCAGUGACUUCUUCAUUGCAAAUACCUUUUUUUCACCAACAUAAACGGCGACUAUAUUUUUUUAUACAUAUACAUGGACCUUGCCAGGUGGAAUACACAGGAAUCAAAUUGACUACAUCUGUGGAAAAAGAGGAUGGAAAAGCUCAAUAUCAUCAGUCAGAACAAGGUCAGGGGCCAACUUGCUCACAUGCAAGUUCAAGUUGAAGCUGAAGAAAAUUAGAACAAGUCCACGAGAGCCAAAGUACAACCUUGAGGAUAAAACAACAACAAAAAAAAAGCCAAACCUGUUGCCGUUGAGUUGAUUCCGACUCAUAGCGACCCUAUAGGAUAGAGAAGAACUGCCCCAUAGAGUCGCCAAGGAGCGCCUGGUGGAUUCGAACUGCUGACCUUCUGGUCAGCAGCCGUAGCACUUAACCACGACGCCACCAAGGUUUCCACCUUGAGGAUAUCCCACCUGAAUUUAGAGACCAUCUCAAGAAUAGAUUUGACCCGUUGAACGCUAAUGACCAAAGACCAGAUGAGUUGUGGACAUCAUACAUGAAGAAAGCAAGAGGUCAUUAAAAAGACAGGAAAGAAAGAAAAGACCAAAAUGGAUGUCAGAAGAGACUCUGAAACUUGCUCUUGAACGUCGUGUAGCUAAAGCGAACGAAAGAAAUGAUGAAGUAAAAGAGCUGAACAGAAGAUUUAAAGGGUGGCUCAAGGAAACAAAGUAUGACAAUGACAUGUGCGAAGACCUGGAGUCAGAAAACCAAAAGGGAAGAACACGCUUGGGCGUUUUUCAAACUGAAAGACCUGAAGAAAAAAUUCAAGCCUGGAGUUGCAAUAUUGAAGGAUUCUACAGGGAAAAUAUUAAAUGACGAAGGAAGCAUCAAGACCAGAUGGAAGGAAUACACAGCUUUACAAUACCAAAAAAAAUUGAUCGACGUUCAACUAUUUCGGGAGGUAGCAUACGAUCAGGAGCUGAUGGUACUGAAGGAAGAGGUCCAAGCUGCGCUGAAGGCACUGGCAUAAAACAAGGCUCCAGGAAUUGACGGAAUACCAAUUGAGAUGUUUCAACAAAAGGAUGUAGUGCUGGAAGUGCUCACUCAUCUCUUCCAGGAAAUCUGGAUGACUGCUACCUGGCCAGCCAAGUGGAAGAGAUCCAUAUUUAUGCUUAAAUAUGCCUAUUUAUGCAUAUUUAUGCUCCAAAGAGAGGUGAUCCAACCAAAUGCGGAAAUUAUCAAACAAUAUCAUUAACAUCACAUGCAAGUCAAAUUUUGCUGAAUAUCAUUCAAAAGCAGCUGCAGCCGUACCUCGACAGGGAACUGCCUGAAAUUCAAGCCGGAUUCAGAAGAGGACAUGGAGACAGGGAUACCGUUGCCGAUGUCAGGUGGAUCCUGGCUGAAAGCAGAGAAUACCGGAGGGAUGUUUACCUGUGUUUUAUUGACUAUUCAAAGGCAUUUGACUGUGUGAAUCAUAACAAAUUAUGGAUCACAUUGCAAAGAAUGGGAAUUCCAGAACACUUAAUUGUGCUCAUCAGGAACCUGUACAUAGACCAAGAGGCAGUCGUUCGAACAGAACAAGGGGAUACUGCAUGGUUUGAAGUCAGGAAAGAUGUGCGUCAGGGUUGUAUCCUUUCACCAAAAUUAUUCAAUCUGUAUGCUGGGCAAAUAACCCGAGAAGCUGAACUAUAUGAAGAACUGGGCGUCAGGAUUGGGGGAAGACUCGUUAACAACCUGCAUCAUGCAAGUGACACAACCUUACGUGCUGAAAGUGAAGAGGACUCGAAGCACUGACUGAUGAAAGUCAAAGACCACAGCCUUCAGUAUGGAUUACACCUCUACAUAAAGAAAACAAAAAUCCUCACGACUGAACCAAUAAGCAACAUCAUGAUAAAUGGAGAAAAGAUUGACGUUGUCAAGGAUUUCAUUUUACUUGGAUCCACAAUCCACAGCCAUGGAGGCAGCAGUCAAGAAAUCAAAGGACGUAUUGCAUCGGGCAAAUCUGCUGCAAAAGACCUCUUUAAAGUGUUGAAGAGCAAAGAUGUCACCUUGAAGACUAAGGUGCGCCUGACCCAAGCCACGGUGUGUUCAAUCACCUCAUAUGCACGCAAAAGCUGGGCAAUGAAUAAGGAAGACCGAAGAAAAAUUGACGCCUCUGAGUUGUGGUGUUGGCGAAGAAUAUUGAAGACACCAUGGACUGCCGAAAGAAAGAACAAAUCUGUCUUGGAAGAAGUACAACCAGAAUGCUCCUUAGAAGCAAGGAUGGUGAGACUACAACUCACAUACUUUAGGCAUGUUAUCCGGAGGGGUCAGUCCCUGGAGAAGAACAUCAUGCUUGGUAAAGCAGACGGUCAGCGAAAAAGAGGAAGACCCUCAACCAGAUGGAUUGACACAGUAGCUGCAACAAUGGGCUCAAGGCCGGGCAGUGUUUCAUUCUGUUGUGCAUAGGGUCACUAUGAGUUGGAACCGACUCGAUGGCACCUAACAACAACAACAAAAAAACAACAACAAGAACAGACAAUAAGUCAAAUCCACACAAAAAAAGUGAAUUGCUCUGUUAAAGUUAACUCCAUAAGUAAAUAUGAAAGACAGUAUCAAUGUAUUUUUGUUUGUACACUUCUCUUCUCCAAUCCAAUUUGAAAGACAACUACAUAAAGCAAUAAUUUCAAAUUAUGUUGAAGACCUUAUAGUGUAUAAAGAUGUAAUUCGUAUGACAAGAAUAGCACAAAGGAGCAGGAGGGAAUGGAAGUAUAUUGAAGCAAAGUUUGUGAACACUGUUGAAACUAAGUUGGUAUUAACCUGAACUGUGUUGUUUUAAGCUGAGAUGUUAAUUGUAACCCUCAUGGGCAGCCAAUAAGAAAAUAACUAAAAAUACAUAGUAAAAGAAACAGCAAGCAAAUAAAAGUAGUACAUUAGAAAAUAUCCGUUUAACACAGGAGGAGGCAGUAGUGGAGGAACAACAAAGACAUAAGACGUAGAGAAAACAAAUAACCAAAGGGCACACAUCGAUCCUACUUUAUCAGUAAUUAGGUUACAAGUAAAUAGGUUAAACAAUCAAUCAAAAGGCAAAAUGAAUAAGAAAACAUGAUGCAAGUAUAUGCUGACUACAAGAGAGACCCUUGUUUAGAUCCGAAGACACAAAUAGGUUGAGAGUAAAAGGAUGGAAAAAGAUAUACCUUGCAAAAAGAGAAUUUGAGUACUACUUGAGCUUGAGUGCGAAUGUACUAAUUGCCACUGAAUCGCUCACUUUAAAAGGGCUAAAUUUUAUGUGAAUUUCACCUCAAUAAAAAUAAAUGAAGAAAAAAAAAAGCGUUACUAGAGACAAAGAAGGAUAUUUUAUGAUGGUAAAACGGCCAAACCAUCAGGACAACAUAACAAGUAAAAGCAUAUACGUACCUAAGAGCAGAGCCCCUAAAUGCAUAAAGCAAAAACCGACAGAAUUGAAGGGAGAAACAGACAAAUCAACAAUUGUAAUUGGAAACUACAAUACCUCACUUUCAAUAACGGAUAGCCAACUAGAGAGAAGAUGAUAAAGGAAAUAGAAGACUUGAACGACACUGUAAACCAACUAGACCUAGCAGACAUCGAUAGAACACUCCACCCACCAACAGCAGAGUAUGUACACGUUCUGCUCCAGUGCAUUCUCCAGGAUAGACCAUAUGUUAGGCUAUUAAACAAGUAAUAAGCAAUUCAAAAGUAUUGAAAUCAUCCAAAGUAGGUUUUCAGCCACGAUGUAAUUAAAUUAAAAAUCAGUAACAAGGAAAUUUGGGAAGUUCAGAAAUAUAUAGAAAUUAAGCAAAGAAAUCACAAGGAAAUUUAGAAAACACUCUGAGAUGAAUGAAAAUGAAAACACAUCAUACCAAAACUUGUGGGAUGCAGCUAAAGCGGUGCUUAGGAGCCCUGGUGGUGUAGUGGUUAAGACUUCUGCUGCUAACCAAAAGGUCGGCAGUUCGAAUCCACCAACCACUCCCUGGAAACCCCAUGGGGCGGUUCGACUCUGUCCAAAGCAGCGCUUAGAGGAAAAUUUAUUGCCGUAAAUGCCUCUAUUAAUGAAGAAGAAAAAUAUUAAAUCAAUAAACCAGCCUUCCACCUUAAGAAACUAGAAAAAGAACAGCAAACUAAACCCAAAGUGAACAAAUGAAGGAAAAUAAAGAUUAGAAAAACAGAGAAAAUAAAAAAACCAAAGUUGGUUUUCUGAAAAGAGCAACAAAAUUGGCAAACCCUUAGCUGCAGUGACCAAGAAAAAGAGAGUAGACUAAUUACUAAAGCCAC